UUUCCGUAGGUGAACCUGCGGAAGGAUCAUUGUAGGAUUGUUUUGGGAGGGGUGGCUGUGAUUUGUGGGGAUUGUGUGUGGUUGUUUGGAUUGCUUGGAUUGCCUGGCUGUCUGCAACUCGACUCGUCUCAUCACAACCACUCUUUACAUUGGCGCAGACCAGUGGUCUGGUGUUUGGAGCAACAGACCAGUGGUGUCUGAUGUUUGCGCUUGCUCGUUUGACAGAAACAGUACCAUAUCAUUGCAAAACUUUUAACAAUGGAUCUCUUGGCUCUU
rnacentral:misc_RNA from 1 species